UGGUGGAGUGAUUUGUCUGCUUAAUUGCGAUAACGAACGAGACCUUAACCUGCUAAAUAUGCCGCGCUAACCCGUCCAUCAAAACCCAUGCGUGGCUCACGCGGUCCGCUGCGGGGUGGUGUCGCUUCGCGGCGACGUCAUCCCGCCGGCAGGGCCCGGGUCCGUGUGGGCGGUAGGGUUCGGCGUCCGUGCUUCUUAGAGGGACUGCUGCGCGCCUAGCCAGCGGAAGUUUGAGGCAAUAACA
rnacentral:rRNA from 1 species